rnacentral:rRNA from 1 species
CAGGACGAACGCUGGCGGCGUGCUUCAUACAUGCAAGUCGAACGAGAAGCUCACUUCGGUGAGUGGAAAGUGGCGGACGGGUGAGUAAUGUGUAGAGAAUCUGCCCUAGAGUGGGGGAUAGCAGUUGGAAACGACUAUUAAUACCCCAUAUGCGCGUAGCUGGGAUGCUAUUCGUGAAAACUCCGGUGCUCUGGGAUGAGUCUGCAUCUGAUUAGCUAGUAGGCGGUGUAAUGGACCACCUAGGCUACGAUCAGUAGCUGGUUUGAGAGGAUGAUCAGCCACAAUGGGACUGAGACACGGCCCAUACUCCUACGGGAGGCAGCAGUAGGGAAUUUUGCGCAAUGGGGGAAACCCUGAACCGCAGCAACGCCGCGUGAAUGAAGAAGCCCUUCGGGGUGUAAAGUUCUGUCAGUGGGGACGAAACUUGACGGUACCCACAGAGGAAGCAUCGGCUAACUCCGUGCCAGCAGCGGC